UGUCCAAAAGGAGCCGGUUCAAAAAGUGACCGGAGAAGGCUCACGCGCGGCGCGUGAAAGUCCGCCGGCGGCGCGUGUGCUAUUGUUACCGGCGCGUGGGGAAGAAUCCGGCGGUGGGAUUUGCAAGGGUUGCGCGCCUGACGCUAAGCGUCCCGAUGGUGAGGGGGGUGUCGAAGAAAAACACCGAAUCUUCGCCGGAACAGUGUUCCGGGCAAAGAAAGGGGGGAUAUAGAUAAGGGUACUUACCUGUGGCUUCCGGCGAGACGGUGGUGGUGCCGGUACCGAUGGUGUUGCCCUGUAAAAGGGGAAAGGAAAAGGGGAAGGGGAAGGGG
rnacentral:lncRNA from 1 species